UACGUAGGCUCCAAGCGUUGUUCGGAAUUACUGGGCGUAAAGCGAGUGUAGGCGGUCCGCCAAGUCGACUGUGAAAUCUCCCGGCUUAACCGGGAGGGUGCGGUCGAAACUGACGGACUGGAGUUCGGGAGAGGAGAGUGGAAUUCCUGGUGUAGCGGUGAAAUGCGUAGAUAUCAGGAGGAACACCGGAGGUGAAGACGGCUCUCUGGACCGAAACUGACGCUGAGACUCGAAAGCGUGGGGAGCAAACAGG
rnacentral:rRNA from 1 species